UUCUAGCAUAGCGUAUAGGAAUAAUCUCUUGUGUGCUAUUGAAAGACCCCCACAGGGAGACCCUCACUCAAGCCUCGGGACAGCCGCGGACCCAAGAAGACACCGAGACCG
rnacentral:pre_miRNA from 20 species